rnacentral:rRNA from 1 species
UACGUAGGGUGCAAGCGUUGUUCGGAAUCACUGGGCGUAAAGGGCGUGUAGGUGGCUUUGUAAGUUUGGUGUGAAAGCCCUCAACUCAAUUGAGGAAGUGCAUUGAAUGCUGCAGAGCUUGAGCAAAGGAGAGGAAAACGGAAUUCCUGGUGUAGAGGUGAAAUUCGUAGAUAUCAGGAGGAACAACGGUGGCGAAGGCGGUUUUCUGGACUUUAGCUGACACUGAGGCGCGACAGCGUGGGGAGCAAACAGG